CCUACGGGAGGCAGCAGUAGGGAAUAUUGGGCAAUGGAGGCAACUCUGACCCAGCCAUGCCGCGUGCAGGAUGAAGGCGUUAUGCGUUGUAAACUGCUUUUAUAUAGGAAGAAAGAGUUCUUGCGAGAACAGUUGACGGUACUAUAUGAAUAAGCACCGGCUAACUCCGUGCCAGCAGCCGCGGUAAUACGGAGGGUGCAAGCGUUGUCCGGAUUUAUUGGGUUUAAAGGGUGCGUAGGCGGUUUAUUAAGUCAGUGGUGAAAGACGGUCGCUCAACGAUUGCAGUGCCAUUGAUACUGGUAGACUUGAGUGAGAUUGAGGUAGCUGGAAUGGAUAGUGUAGCGGUGAAAUGCAUAGAUAUUAUCCAGAACACCAAUUGCGUAGGCAAGUUACUAAGUCUCAACUGACGCUGAGGCACGAAAGUGUGGGUAUCAAACAGGAUUAGAUACCCUGGUAGUCCACACUGUAAACGAUGAUAACUAACUGUUGGCUUUCGGGGUCNGUGUACAGAGAAUCGUUAAGUUAUCCACGUGGGGAGUACGCCGGCGAACGGUGAAACGUUAAGUGAAUUGACGGCGUAGAGACGUUGCCGACGGACGACGACGAGGGAGGAGG
rnacentral:rRNA from 1 species